rnacentral:rRNA from 1 species
CACGAGUUUGAUCAUGGCUCAGGAUGAACGCUAGCGGUAUGCUUAACACAUGCAAGUCGUACGGGAGUUUUUAACUCAAGUGGCGGACGGGUGAGUAACACGUGAGAAUUUACCUUUAGGAGGGGGAUAACAAUUGGAAACGAUUGCUAAUACCCCAUAUGCUUUUUUAAGUGAAACGGAUUUAUUCGCCUAAAGAAAAGCUCGCGGCUGAUUAGCUAGUUGGUAAGGUAAUGGCUUACCAAGGCGACGAUCAGUAUCUGGUUUGAGAGGAUGAUCAGACACACUGGAACUGAGACACGGUCCAGACUCCUACGGGAGGCAGCAGGUGGGGAAUUUUCCGCAAUGGGCGAAAGCCUGACGGAGCAAUACCGCGUGAGGGAAGAAAGCCUACUGGGUUGUAAACCUUCUUUUUCAGGGAGGAAAAAAAUGACGUGUACCUGAAGAAUAAGCAUCGGCUAACUCCGUG